rnacentral:rRNA from 1 species
AUUGAACGCUGGCGGCAGGCUUAAUACAUGCAAGUCGAACGAGUGGCGGACGGGUGAGUAAUGCUUGGGAAUCUGGCUUAUGGAGGGGGAUAACUACGGGAAACUGUAGCUAAUACCGCGUACCACAGGAUGAGCCCAAGUGGGAGUAGGUAGUUGGUGAGGUAAAGGCUCACCAAGCCGACGAUCUCUAGCUGGUCUGAGAGGAUGACCAGCCAAACUGGGACUGAGACACGGCCCAGACUCCCACGGGAGGCAGCAGUUGGGAAUAUUGCGCAAUGGGGGCAACCUGACGCAGCCAUGCCGCGGGAGUGAUGACGGCCUUCGGGUUGUAAAGCUCUGUUAAUCGGGAGACGGUACCGGACUAGAAAGCCACGGCUAACUACGUGCCAGCAGCCGCGGUAAUUC